rnacentral:rRNA from 1 species
NNNNNNNNNNNGAUUCCCUAGUAACUGCGAGUGAAGCGGGAAAAGCUCAAAUUUAAAAUCUGGCGGUUCUUGUAGCCGUCCGAGUUGUAAUUUAGAGAAGUGUUAUCCGCGCUGGACCGUGUACAAGUCUCCUGGAAUGGAGCGUCAUANAGGGUGAGAAUCCCGUCUYUGACACGGACUGCCAGGGCUUUGUGAUGCGCUCUCGAAGAGUCGAGUUGUUUGGGAAUGCAGCUCAAAAUGGGUGGUAAAUUCCAUCUAAAGCUAAAUAUUGGGGAGAGACCGAUAGCGAACAAGUACCGUGAGGGAAAGAUGAAAAGAACUUUGGAAAGAGAGUUAAACAGUACGUGAAAUUGCUGAAAGGGAAACGCUUGAAGUCAGUCGCGUCGUYCAGGACUCAGCCUUGCUUUUGCUCUGUGUACUUCUUGUUCGACGGGUCAGCAUCAAUUUUGGUCGGUGGAUAAAGGCUUAGAGAAUGUGGCAUCUUCGGGUGUGUUAUAGCUCCAGGUYGCAUACAUCGGCUGGGAYUGAGGAACUCAGCACGCCGCAAGGCCGGGUACUUGUACCACGUACGUGCUUAGGAUGCUGGCAUAAUGGCUUUAAUCGACCCGUCUUGAAACACGGACCAAGGAGUCUAACAUGCGUGCGAGUGUUUGGGUGGAAAACCCGAGCGCGUAAUGAAAGUGAAAGUUGAGAUCCCUGUCGUGGGGAGCNUCGACGCCCGGAGCAGACCUUUUGUGACGCAUCCGCGGUAGAGCAUGUAUGUUGGGACCCGAAAGAUGGUGAACUAUGCCUGAAUAGGGUGAAGCCAGAGGAAACUCUGGUGGAGGCUCGUAGCGAUUCAGACGUGCAAAUCGAUCGUCGAAUUUGGGUAUAGGGGCGAAAGAGUCAUCGAACCAUCUUANNNNNNNNNNNNNNN